rnacentral:rRNA from 1 species
UACGGGGGGGGUAAGCGUUGUUCGGAAUUACUGGGCGUAAAGGGCUCGUAGGCGGCCAACUAAGUCAUACGUGAAAUCCCUCAGCUUAACUGGGGAACUGCGUGUGAUACUGGAUGGCUUGGAUUUGGGAGAGGGAUGCGGAAUUCCAGGUGUAGCGGUGAAAUGCGUAGAUAUCUGGAGGAACACCGGUGGCGAAGGCGGCAUCCUGGCCUGUUCUUGACGCUGAGGCGCGAAAGCUAGGGGAGCAAACGGGG